AUCUGAAUUCCAGCAGAGGGAGACUCCUUAAACCUGCAUUCUAUCUGAAUUCCAGCAGGGGGAGACUCCUUAAACCUCCAUUCUAUCUGAAUUCCAGCAGAGGGAGACUCCUUAAUGCUGCAUUCUAUCUGAAUUCCAGCAGGUGGAGACUCCUUAAACCUGCAUUCUAUCUGAAUUCCAGCAGGGGGAGACUCCAUUAAUAUUAACAGUCUAUGGUGUGAAGCAACAAAAGCAACAAGAGCUUUGAUUCUGUUCAGAAAUACUACUUGAAAUACUGCGUCCCUAUCACAGCCAGGGAGUGGUCCGGACACUAACUAGGAGACAAGCUUUGUUAGCAGCUGUUUCAAGGCACUGGUCAUCAAGUCGUCAGCACUCACUUAUUGAUUUACUUUUAAUGCCACUUGAUCCAAAAAAAAAAUAACCUGUGUUAUUACACUUCCAAAGGUGCUACAGAAGAUGCCUUUUAACUUGAAUGGCAUUUGGUGUUUUAUUGAGUAGAUGAAGAGCAGGCGGAUAUUUUGCAUUCUGUAGUAGUUGUCAACAACGGGCUUUGUAAGUUUGAUUUGCUGCAUCUAGACACUAUCCAUGCUUACACUGGGUAAACAUGUCUGUUCUUAUAGCGACCUGUACUUAGAUUCAGUGUGUGCCUAAGAAGUCCCACUUUCUUGACGUUUUACGAUGUUUGUUACGUUUUGUCCUGUGUGAUCUGUAAGACAUUAACAAGACAUCCGUGCAAGUGAAAAGAAAUUUUUCACAUUGUGCUCAUGUUUUUGCAUGCAUUUAUUUUUGUAUUUUGAGACUGUUUGACAUUGUAAAAAAAAAAAGUCUGAAUGCUGAUUUGAAUGGGACUGUGACAAAUGUGUCUACUGCAUUUCAAGCAGUUUGAGAUUUACAGUGUAUCCCAUGAAACAUAAUAUUUAUCAAUGGCCACUUGUUAUUGUUAAAUCCCCCCCUAACAGUUAGUUGUUAAAACACUGGAUUUUAAGACAAGGCACUUCAGCAACUAAGAGAAGUGAAACUGGUAGAGUGUGUAGUAAUGAAUUGACUUUUAAGACAGCUGGUCUGCAAUGUACAGUGUUCUAUAGUAGUAGUUCCAGGUCCACUAUUUCCAACAGGAACUAUUUUCGAUCAAAGAUAUGCUUUAUUUCUAAGUGUAGACUCCUGCAGCUUAGUAGAAAUAGCUGGGACUCCAGAUCCCUCUCACAACACGGCGUUGCGUUGACUGUGCUGUUACCUUUUUUUUUUCAAACCUCGAAACAUCUUCUAACAAGUAUAGCAGGUUUCACUUAAAGGGAAUGACGUGUUUUACCCUCAACCAUCAUCAUUGCCGUCAGAACUGUUCACCUCUCCCUGACUCAUUAGUUGGAAAUGUAUUUAUUUAUUUUUCAAUGCUUGUUAUUUAGUGCCGAUAUAAAUCAUAUAUCAUUUCAUCUCCCUUUUUAAUUUUGCUUUAAUUUUAACCUCGCUUUAGAAACUGUAAAACUUGUUUGUUAUUGGGAUUUUCAAAUAAAAUACACUUAUGUGCCAUGUUUGCAUUAGAACAUUGUGAAUGUGCACAGAAGAUGAAGAUCAAUUGAAGCUUUCAAUGUGUUUUUUUGUUGCUGUUUUUUUUCCCAGAUCCAGGAUUACCAUAAAAUUUGAUUACCUCAUACUAUGUAAAUGGACUGUUUGUAUAUAGCGCUUUUCGGGUCUCAACAACUAUUCAAAGUGCUUUUAUAUAGUACAGGAACCAUUCACCAUUCGCACACUGUGGUCGAGGCUGCCGCACAACUCAUCAGACUCAGACACAUUUACACAUGGGCCCAAGGACACUUCAACAUGGGACUGCAAGGCCAGGGAUUGAACCACCAACCUUCCAAUUGGCAGAUGACCGCUCUACAACAGCCGCCCCUAUGCUAGACACUAACUUCAUAGUCACUACUUCAUAAAUGUCACGUUUAUUUGCAGUUUUAAUUUGAAAUAUAAAACAAUUCUAUGCAACCUGUAAUAUCAUACCUUCAUGAAAUGUUCACCCCAAGUAUCCUUUUUCUUUUCCAGUGCACAAUUUGCUUGCUGAUUUAGGUUUAACACUGUAUCAAUGUACUGUGGUUCUUUUUAUUCCACUCUAAUGAUUUGAGUGUGUUCUGAGCUUUUUUUUCAUGCACAUGUAUGUAUGUAUGUAUAUACAUAUGUAUUACCUAUAAAUAUACCAUUUGGAUGUUUUGGGAACGGUUACUGUUAAAAAAGAAAUACAUACUGUAUGUGCUGUAAGUAUUUGUAACAUAGACCAGAAGCACAGCGUGGUCUGCAAAUAAAUAAUUUUCCAAUAAA